GUGUUGUAUGGACAGGGAAGAAGUCAGCACUCCUCUGGAAGAGGCUAGAAGAGGCCCACAGGCUUAACAUGCUUAUGGCAAAAACACUGCCCACUUCAUAGCUUUUUUUUUUUUUUUUUU